rnacentral:rRNA from 1 species
UUCAGGAUGAACGCUAGCUACAGGCUUAACACAUGCAAGUCGAGGGGCAGCAUGGUCUUAGCUUGCUAAGGCCGAUGGCGACCGGCGCACGGGUGAGUAACACGUAUCCAACCUGCCGUCUACUCUUGGACAGCCUUCUGAAAGGAAGAUUAAUACAAGAUGGCAUCAUGAGUCCGCAUGUUCACAUGAUUAAAGGUAUUCCGGUAGACGAUGGGGAUGCGUUCCAUUAGAUAGUAGGCGGGGUAACGGCCCACCUAGUCUUCGAUGGAUAGGGGUUCUGAGAGGAAGGUCCCCCACAUUGGAACUGAGACACGGUCCAAACUCCUACGGGAGGCAGCAGUGAGGAAUAUUGGUCAAUGGGCGAGAGCCUGAACCAGCCAAGUAGCGUGAAGGAUGACUGCCCUAUGGGUUGUAAACUUCUUUUAUAAAGGAAUAAAGUCGGGUAUGGAUACCCGUUUGCAUGUACUUUAUGAAUAAGGAUCGGCUAACUCCGUGCCAGCAGCCGCGGUAAUACGGAGGAUCCGAGCGUUAUCCGGAUUUAUUGGGUUUAAAGGGAGCGUAGAUGGAUGUUUAAGUCAGUUGUGAAAGUUUGCGGCUCAACCGUAAAAUUGCAGUUGAUACUGGAUAUCUUGAGUGCAGUUGAGGCAGGCGGAGUUCGUGGUGUAGCGGUGAAAUGCUUAGAUAUCACGAAGAACUCCGAUUGCGAAGGCAGCCUGCUAAGCUGCAACUGACAUUGAGGCUCGAAAGUGUGGGUAUCAAACAGGAUUAGAUACCCUGGUAGUCCACACGGUAAACGAUGAAUACUCGCUGUUUGCGAUAUACUGCAAGCGGCCAAGCGAAAGCGUUAAGUAUUCCACCUGGGGAGUACGCCGGCAACGGUGAAACUCAAAGGAAUUGACGGGGGCCCGCACAAGCGGAGGAACAUGUGGUUUAAUUCGAUGAUACGCGAGGAACCUUACCCGGGCUUAAAUUGCAGAUGAAUUACGGUGAAAGCCGUAAGCCGCAAGGCAUCUGUGAAGGUGCUGCAUGGUUGUCGUCAGCUCGUGCCGUGAGGUGUCGGCUUAAGUGUCAUAACGAGCGCAACCCUUGUUGUCAGUUACUAACAGGUUCCGCUGAGGACUCUGACAAGACUGCCAUCGUAAGAUGUGAGGAAGGUGGGGAUGACGUCAAAUCAGCACGGCCCUUACGUCCGGGGCUACACACGUGUUACAAUGGGGGGUACAGAGGGCCGCUACCACGCGAGUGGAUGCCAAUCCCCAAAACCUCUCUCAGUUCGGACUGGAGUCUGCAACCCGACUCCACGAAGCUGGAUUCGCUAGUAAUCGCGCAUCAGCCACGGCGCGGUGAAUACGUUCCCGGGCCUUGUACACACCGCCCGUCAAGCCAUGGGAGCCGGGGGUACCUGAAGUGCGUAACCGCGAGGAGCGCCCUAGGGUAA